rnacentral:misc_RNA from 1 species
UGCCAGCUAGCUCUCCUUUGACAAA